rnacentral:rRNA from 1 species
GACGAACGCUGGCGGCGUGCUUAACACAUGCAAGUCGAACGGAAAGGCCCUGCUUUUGUGGGGUGCUCGAGUGGCGAACGGGUGAGUAACACGUGAGUAACCUGCCCUUGACUUUGGGAUAACUUCAGGAAACUGGGGCUAAUAUCGGAUAGGAGCUCCCGUUGCAUGGUGGGGGUUGGAAAGUUUCGGCGGUUGGGGAUGGACUCGCGGCUUAUCAGCUUGUUGGUGGGGUAGUGGCUUACCAAGGCUUUGACGGGUAGCCGGCCUGAGAGGGUGACCGGCCACAUUGGGACUGAGAUACGGCCCAGACUCCUACGGGAGGCAGCAGUGGGGAAUAUUGCACAAUGGGCGGAAGCCUGAUGCAGCAACGCCGCGUGCGGGAUGACGGCCUUCGGGUUGUAAACCGCUUUCGCCUGUGACGAAGCGUGAGUGACGGUAAUGGGUAAAGAAGCACCGGCUAACUACGUG